UCUCCAGGACUGACUUGCCUCUCUCGCUUCCAGAGCUCCUUAAACCCCAAAUGGGUUAUCUGGGCAGAGCUUCAAGGACCCUACAACCGCUCAAACAUUUCUCUCUCGCUCACACUCCCUCUAAAUUUGGCCCAUUUUCCAAUAUACUCAAAGGCAACGCGCUAUGUACCAGAAUAGGAAACAACCAUUUUGGUUUGAGUCAUGGGUUUUCCUCUCAUUCUCGCCAAAGCAGCGAAGAGAAUGGCAUAGAUUUGAGCCAGUACCCUCCAGAGAGGAUCAGAAACUUUUCCAUUAUCGCGCACGUCGACCACGGCAAGUCUACCCUCGCUGACAGGCUUUUGGAGCUCACUGGGACCAUUAAGAGGGGCCAUGGUCAGCCUCAGUACCUCGACAAGCUGCAGGUAGAGAGAGAAAGGGGAAUCACGGUGAAAGCUCAAACAGCAACCAUGUUCCACAAAUACAACCUUCAUGGUACUGACAAAAGUGAUGUGCAAGACCAACCAAGUUUUCUACUGAAUUUGAUUGACACACCUGGUCAUGUGGAUUUCAGCUAUGAAGUAUCAAGAUCCCUGGCAGCUUGCCAGGGUGCUCUUUUGGUUGUUGAUGCUGCCCAGGGUGUUCAAGCACAAACUGUUGCUAACUUUUAUCUUGCUUUUGAAUCUAACCUGACAAUAAUACCUGUCAUAAAUAAGAUUGACCAGCCAACUGCUGAUCCUGAUCGUGUUAAAGCACAACUAAAGUCAAUGUUUGAUCUCGAUCCUAGUGAUGCUCUUUUAACAUCUGCCAAAACAGGGCAGGGUCUGGAGCAAGUCCUUCCUGCAGUUAUAGAGCGCAUACCUCCUCCACCUGGGAAAAGUGGUUCACCCUUGCGUAUGCUUUUACUAGAUUCGUAUUAUGAUGAAUACAAAGGAGUCAUAUGCCAUGUUGCAGUUGUUGAUGGUAUGCUGCAUAAGGGGGAUAAGAUUUCAUCCGUGGGGACUGGCCAAGCUUAUGAAGUUUCAGAUGUUGGCAUCAUGCAUCCUGAACUCACUCCCACUGGUGUCCUUCAUACUGGACAAGUGGGAUAUGUUGUGAGUGGCAUGCGUUCAACCAAAGAGGCUUGUAUUGGAGACACUCUUUAUCAUAGUCGAAGCAUUGUAGAGCCCCUUCCAGGAUUCAAGCCUGUGAAACAUAUGGUCUUCUCUGGUGUUUAUCCAGCUGAUGGAUCUGAUUUUGAAGCUCUCAAUCAUGCAAUAGAGAGACUGACAUGCAAUGAUGCUAGCGUCUCCGUCGCUAAAGAGAGUAGCACUGCACUAGGGCUGGGUUUUAGGUGUGGUUUCUUAGGCUUACUUCACAUGGAUGUUUUCCAUCAGCGGCUUGAACAGGAGUAUGGAGCUCAUGUUAUUUCUACUGUUCCAACCGUUCCUUAUAUUUUUGAGUAUUCUGAUGGAAGCAAAGUUCAAGUACAGAAUCCUGCUGCAUUUCCCUCAAAUCCCAAGCAACAAGUUACAGCUUGUUGGGAACCUACUGUAAUAGCUACAAUUAUCAUCCCUAGUGAGUAUGUGGGGCCUGUUAUUACCCUAUGCUCUGAACGGAGAGGGCAGCAGUUGGAGUAUUCAUUCGUUGAUAGUCAGCGCGCAUUUAUGAAGUAUCGCUUACCUUUGAGGGAAAUUGUUGUUGACUUUUACAAUGAACUGAAAAGUAUAACGUCAGGAUAUGCCUCAUUUGAUUAUGAGGAUGCUGAAUAUCAAGAAUCUGAUCUGGUGAAACUUGAUAUCCUCUUGAAUGGACAAUCAGUUGAUGCCAUGGCUACCAUUGUUCAUAACUUGAAGGCACAACGUGUUGGUCGUCAACUGGUUGAGAAACUGAAAAAAUUCAUAGACAGGCAAAUGUUCGAGAUAACAAUACAAGCUGCAAUUGGAUCGAAGGUCAUUGCGAGGGAGACGAUUUCGGCUAUGAGAAAAAAUGUUCUUGCAAAGUGCUAUGGUGGGGAUGUUACUCGGAAGAGGAAAUUGUUGGAGAAGCAAAAGGAAGGAAAGAAGCGAAUGAAACGCGUUGGUUCUGUUGAUAUACCUCAGGAGGCAUUUCAUGAACUUCUGAAGGUUUCAUGAAGAAAAUGUCCAAAGAAUUGGCCAUAUUUGGAACUGGUAAUGUCAGCUCAUCCCUUAUGUUCCUGUUGGCCAUAUUUGGAACUGGUUUAUGGUUGUGAGAAAAAGUGAUGGGAAAGGCUGUUGGAAAAAGCAAAACGAGGAAAGAAGCAAAUGAAGUGCGCCACCUCCUUGGGUGGCCUUCUGAUGAGCUGCCAGAGCUUUCGAGUAGACAAGAAAAAUGACCACAUCUGGCCAUGGAUGAUUUUUUCCUCUUUACAAGUAGCACAAAUGCUUUCUAGCAACAAAAUUUAGAGAUACUGGCAAAAUUCCCAUGUUUUGGGGUUAUUUUUGGUGAGUAUCACAAGUUCUUAUAGAAUUUCCCUUUGGUUGGGGGCACAGUGGAUAUUCCGCUGGUUGGCGUGUUUCAACAUUCCUCUGUUGAUGCAUGCACAUAAAGGCCCGUUUUUCCCUUUGUGACUUCUAUUGAUAAGAUUAACCGAGAUUAAUAGUUCGACUUGAUUCUUGAAGAGUGAGUACUAUAUCUAGUCAAAGGCGAAUACAUGCCUAUUUUACUGCCACAGUUAUAUAGAAGUAAAUUGAUUCCUUGAGAUGUUAUUAAAGAGGCAAUUUUGUUUUUGCUCAUUCAAGAAAUAAUGAGUUAAGGUUCCCUUUUUAUAUCA